GUCCCCCACUUGUGCCCCACUUGUGCCCCAGCUGUGUCCCUUUUGUCCCCCACUUGUGCCCCACUUGUGCCCCAGCUGUGCCCCACUUGUGUCCCCCACUUGUGUCCCAUUGUCCCCCAGCUGUGCCCCAGCUGCAGCCCAGUCGUGUCCCCACUAUUCCUCAGGUGCUCCCAGCAGUGCCCAAGAUGUGCCCUGGUUGUCCCCCAGCUGUGUCCCGUUUGUCCCCCAGUUGUGCCCCAGUUGUGCCCAAGAUGUGUCCCAGCUGUCCCCCAGUUGACUCCCAUUGUCCCCAGCUGUGUCCCAGUUGUCCCCCAGCUGUGCCCCAGUUGUGCCCCAAUUGUGCCCAAAAUGUGCCCCAGUUGUGCCCCAGUUGACUCCCAUUGUCCCCAGUUGUGUCCAGUUGUCCCCCAGCAGACGACCCCAUGGGUGCAGCGUUGGUGA
rnacentral:lncRNA from 1 species